ensembl:lncRNA
CCUGCACAGUCUUCUGCCUUCUCGAUUGGAGUUUAACAAUGAUCAAUGUCACGGUGCUUUACAAUGUGCAGUGAUGUGCUUACAGUAACAACGUGGUAGAGUUGUGAAAGCACUGUCCCUUAGCCACGCCAUAAACUUUACCUGGAACUAGUAAAUAGAAUCACAAAGCCCAGUAGGGCAGAAGGGAAAACAACUUGGUUCUAAGAAAGAGAGUAACUCCAUGUCGCCCCCGCUUGACUGCUGCGGGAACAACCACUAAACUAGGUCCUAGAAAUGCAGGGAAAAGGUGGGAUAACAAACUAGUCCACCAAUCCCCGUUCCCAGAAAUGUCUGCCUUGUUGCCCAAUUGGAUAAAAAAAAGGUGAGGGAAGAGCCAGUUGAUAGACAUUAAUUUCGACCAAUUAUUACAGGAAAACCGAGCAUGACGGGUGAAUUCAACUAUCAAUCAGAUUUCGGAGACGGAUAUGAAGGUGGAGCUUCGGGAUUCCCUCGGUCUCUGGGUAGGCGGAGCUGAGAAGGAGAGAAAGAUGGCGGAGUGAAGAACUGCCGCUCCCGCUGCGGCUGUGGCUGCGGCCGCGGCUGCGGGGAAUCCUCGGAGGCCGAGGUGGGCCAGCCUUGGUCAACGGCGCACUAGUCUUGACAACUCAGGUAAGCGCGGGAGGAAGACGGAUAAACGGUCACGGGUGCGUCCUCCGUAGGAUACGGAAUGGGUAGUGCCUGUUCUUCUCCCUGUCGGAGCCUCCCUGUUAUCUAGGGGGCGAGAGGACCGGAGAUCGGUCCCUUCAUCCUGGGGAAUGCCUCCUUCUCCAGUCCCCGUCUCGGCCGCCAUUGGCCUGUUCCUGGGGGUCCCGUAUUCCCUCCAUCUCUACAACUUUCAUUGGCUCUUUCCGGCAGCCCGCCCUCUAGGCUCGCCCAUUGGCUGACAGCGCGGCCUCCUCGAUCAGCCUCUCGUCCUUCUCAUUGGCUUGCCCUUGCUGCCUUUGUGUUAUCCCGGCUGUGCUUCCCUAAUUGGGCAAAACUUGGGCGUGUUACGCAUCCGCUUUUCCUGUUAGCCUUUGCGGCCUAGGCGCUGCAUCCUUCAUCUGGCUUGUUGAUUUUAAUUAAAUUUUUUUCCUUCUGUCAUUAGAAUUCUAACCCUUUGCUCCUUUCUCUCCCCCUUUUCUCCUUACUCAUUUUCUCAUUUGGGGGGAGUCGCUUUGAUCCUGACCCGCCCUCAUUCCAUUGACCUUGAGAUUUGUCUUCCCCGAGAGGUUUCCCGGAUGGGCUUUAUUCUGGUUCUGUGCAAGGUGGACACUACCCAGGUUUCCCUUGGGUUCUUUUUGGGGAGGGCCUUUGCAUGUCUUACUACUGAAGUCACUCCUGCCUCCGUUAACUUGAGCGUUCUGAAAUUCACAACUAGAUUAUUGCCUCAGGGUCAAGAGAAGCCAUAUAUAGAAUCGGUCUCUAAUGAGAGUGCUUUUGUCAAGAAACCUCCUUAUGGAGUCAUCUCCUGACACGUUGGAUCAACAACAAAGUAGAGGGAGAGGCCAAAAACAUUUUUAAGGGAUUUGGUUGUAUGUUCCUCAUACUAGGCAAAACAAUUUUCCUACAAUGUUUAUGGUUGUCCUCAUCUUGGAAGGAAAACAGAACCCAGAGCUCAGGAUUUAGCUGGUUCUUUAGAAGAAGAAAAAAGAUUUCAUUUGCAUCAUUAUAUCCUUCACUGUUUUCUCAGGUGAUCCUGCUUUUUUUUACUUAACUGCAGUCCUUGGUCUUGACAUUUGGAUCUAUCUCCUCUCUACUUGAACUCCAUGAACCAGAAUGGAAAAGAUAACUUCACAUCAUGUUCCACUUCUCAAAUCCAGCACAUUUAGCUUUGUUAGGUGGCUUUCCCCAGGGUGCCAUCUGUCAAUUACACCAGGAAAAAAGAAGUGAUUGAUGUUUGGUAUGCAGCAACUGUUUGCUUAGAUGAAAGAAGGGAUUUUUUUCCUCCCAUAUAGAAGCAUAAUAUUUAGAUUGGUGCCAGGUCCUUAGAUGGUGAUAUUUGUGAGUUCUUUGCCUAAGAACUCAAAAUGUCUGCAGGGGCCACUUGUAUCCUGUUUGAAUUAGUAUAGAAUUACAUGUAUACAUAAUUAGAACAAGAUAUCUUUUAUUUCAAUAUGGAAAGUUCAUUUUGGAAACUAAAAACAAUGUGUCUGAAUCCUAAUUAAUUCCAUCACAUAGAUUUCUUAAUCCAGAACAAAGGGCCAGCUUUGUAGAUACCCAUGUGACAUGGUAAGUAAAGCAGCUUAUGUAUAGUAUACUAGAUUUUUUUUUUUUUUUUUUUUUAACGUAUGUGAAGAAAAUAUCAUGUUCUUUGAACAAAUAUAUUUCUGGAAGAGUAUGUCCACAUUUAUCAGUGAGAAGAAAGAUUUCUUCCUAAGAAACAAAGCCUGGCUGCAUUGCCUGUUCCCUAGGUAACAUUUGACUUCAUACCAUUAAGAUGUUUUUUUCCAUUUUCACAAAAAAAGGAGCAGGUUGUUCACAAGCAUGCUCCAUGAAUGCAUUCCUGGAUCCGUUGGAGAAAACAGAUUUCAUUGACUUUUGAUUAAACAAAGAACAAAAAAUUUUGAUCUUACCAAGAAUUAAGGCUGUCUUAUGGAUACUUGAUUUGCUGUCACCUUUCUUCUUUGUGGAAUUUUAGUUUUCAUCCUGCUGUUGCCAAGAGUGAACUGGAACAAGGAGUCUGCCUCUGUAUACUUAUAAUACCAGAUCAAAUUUGUGGUUGGCUAUGAAUAUAGCAGAAUGGAAAAAGAGUGGGAGUAGGAAAGAAUUUUCCCAUGUAACUUCACCUUGAAAGACAAAAAGCUUAAAUACUUUUUGUAGCUCCAUUUGCAUGACAUAUCCUAUAUUAUCAUCCCUUUCAGUGUCAGUGGGAACAUAAUCCUUCAAAUCAGAUGACUCUAAGAGAAAUUUCCAUGAGUGAAAACUGAAGCAUCUUAUAGGAAGAUGGGCUGCAUAAUAAUGUUCAUCAACUUUGGCUUGAGGCAGAGGUCUUGGAGAAUUUUAGGGAUUCCAUUCCCAUUUGCACGUCUUCCCCCCCAACCCCACCCCCCCCCCAAAAAAAUCCACAAACAUAGUUUUAUAUCUAGAUCAAGCACUGCAUAUGGCAUAGCUUAUUUUCCUCUGGGGAAAAAAAAUGCUUCCCUUGGCAGCUGAAAUCCUUCCUUGCUCCUGAGAAGUACAAAGCAGAGUUUGGGAUGAGGCAUUACUAGUUCAAGAGAAGAUCACUCUUUUAUUUGUGAUGUUACAUGACUAGAGAAAUCAGUCAUGAAACUUUCCAGAUAGUAAGACUCUAUGUUACAUCUUUGAGUUUCUGGGAAUGUGCUCAUCCAGAACCUUGGUAUGAUGCUAAAAGUAAAGACUCUGGAUUCAGGAUUGGGUCUGCACAAGUGGAAGUUUGUUAAAGAUGAGGAUUGUCAAAAUGGAAUAUGAAUUAGUAGGUCUUAACCAAUGGGAAUUGAAAUCUAAAUCAAAAUGUCUUUUAGGAGGAAAAAAAGAUGUGAAUAAAGUAUGAUUUUAUAAGGGCAAUAGUUGAAAUUGGCUAGCAGUAAAAUACAGCAUUCUCAAAGUCCUAGUGUAGUUAAGCUUUAGUAGCUUAAAAUUACACUGAGACUUUUGGGAUACUCUGAAUAGGUGGUAGUCAUGCCUUUUGAAAGUUCUAUGUUUGCAUUAAUUAAAAAUCUUUCAAUUCAGUCAGGCAGACCUCCCAGUCAUUUGUUUAUAUUUUUAUUCAUUACUAUUCUGCAAAGGUAAAGGUCAGUGUUAUUGGAGAAACUCCUUACUAAAGGGGUAUUGGUGCCACCAAGAUGUUGAGAAAGACUGUAAAUCUUGGUUCUCUGCCCUUCCCUUUAAUGUCUUGUUAUUGGUAGCCUUUCUGGCAAGAUCUGCUGGCAGGCAGCAGGGCCAACCUAUUCUCUUUACGUCUUCUGUCAAACUUGCAACAGAUCUGCUCUGGCCCAUUGGUGCUUUUGGCAUCAGAUCUACUACUUUAGAUUCCUUAGAGUUUUCUGAAUCCAUAGCCAAUAACUUAACUGUUUAGUGUUUCCCUUAAAUAUAUGCCUGCCUUAUUUACAACUGUCAAAAAAUCUUGUUACAACUAAAAUUUGUUUCAUGAUCGGUUGUUUCAGCCUUAUAUUCCCUUAAGACACCUUUUGUGUUUUUUUUUUCUAUCUGUCUUUCUACAAUUUCCUUCCUGGCUGUGGUUUUAGGCAGUGCUGUCUAUGACCUCUUGCUAUACUCUCUAUUUUUCCAGUCCUUCUUGUUGAGUGGGAAUUUUCCUUUUUGAAAAGUUAAAACAAAUAAACAAGGGACAUGUGCAAUAAUUACAUAUAUAUGUGUGCAUAUAUAUAUGUAUGUAUAUAUAUAUAUAUAUUUUUUUUUUUUUUAAUACUUGUGGACAAAAUAAUGUUACAAGUUGUUUGAGAACAACAAAAUCACCAAUGUCUUCCAUUUUGAUAAUAUGUAUAGUUUCAAAAGCAUUAAUGCUUUGUAGGAAAAUGUAGUGCCAUGUUAGGGGCCAGUGCAUGAGCCUAGUAGUAAUUUUAAAAUUAAAAGUGAUGAAUUCUUUAUAUUAAUAAUCAAUAGUAUAACAAAAAAUGGAAAAUGUAAAAAUUUCCCUUUUUGUGUAAAAGUUCUGAACCUGUAUCUUCUCCCUGGGGGGAAAGUGACAGACUAAAAGGACUAGUUUAGAAAUAGAAUUAUUCUGGAUUGGAGGCCUUGAAUAUGUGUGGGGAUGUUUCAGCUUCACAUAAUAUUGCAUAUUCUAAACCUGAUGUAAUUGACUGUAUCCAAUCUAUACCACAAACUUAAACUCUGGAUGACACCUCCGUUUCCCCUCCAACAUUGUGAUCCUGGCUUAUGCUUCUUGUGUAGGUGAGAUUAUCCCCAUGUCCCUGUAUAUCUUCUAGCUUAAUCCUGUUUGAUUUCUGUAUGUAGACUUUCUCUGUAUCCAGGGACCACAGUACAAUUUAUAUAUCUUAAUUGGAUACUCUUAUCUGCCUUACAUGAGAUGCUCUGUCAACUCAAGGGUAGCAUGUAGACUGUUUCACAUUUCCUAUCUGCACGUCACUGUCUCUGGAUUGUGCAGAGAAAUCUUUGUAAAUAUUAGAAUCAAAGUAUUUGUUUUAGGUUGUCCUCACUUUUCAAAUACAUUUUAUUAUUUUUGAUGUGGUUUUCUUGCUACUUCUCUUGCUUGAUUUGCAUUUUGAAAAUUGGACGUGUAGUCAGAAAUUUAAUAAGUUACCUUGUAGUGAGAAGUAAAAGAGUAUUUCUUGUGUUUGCAGUAUGCAGUUUAAGGAUGUAACUUUCAAACUUGUACAUGUCCUCUUUUUCCUACCUUUCCAGAAGAAGUAGUUUUGCCACUCAUAGGCUAGUUCAUCUUUCUCUGAUAAAGCAAUUCCUGUCUGUAAAUGACUUCUUUGAGAAAUUGGAGGUGAUUUUCCUGAAAUUUCUUCAAAUAAUGAUUUGAAUCCAAAAACCUCAGAUAAUCCAGAUUUUAUAAAAUAUAGACUCUACAAAUAUGUGAUAAGUGUACAACACUGCAUGAGAAAACAACUUUGAGUAAGUAGGCCCCUUUGUAGCAGUUCUCUAGGGACAAGGUUCAGGUUCUCUUAGUCUAGACUCAAAUAGUUAUACCUUUGAUUCAAAUAGUAUAGUGCUUAGGAGAAUCAGUUUUUUAAAAAAUACCUCUGAAACUGGAAUGCAAAAUAGCACAGUAUGCAGGGGAAAUGCCCCUGAUGCAAACAAAGCCAUAAAAUAAUAAUUUUAAAAGGAUAAGAUUUUAGUAGCAAUAACUAUUUUGCAUGUACUAAUAACUAACUUGAAUUAGCAAACAUGUAAAGUAAGUUACCACCCAAGUUUGUGGUGUGUGGUGCUCAGUCCUUGACAGAGCUGCAUGAAAGAAAACAUGUUUUAGGUAGAUGACAUCUAUAAAAGAGAGGGAUAUGUGUGCGUGUGUGGGUGUGGGUGUGCAUGUGUAUGUACACACUAGAGAAAGAUUUCAUUAUGUGAGACUGAAAACCCUAUUUGUUUCCCCAAGUAAUUGAAGUGAGCUUUUUCUGGGAAACAAAUUGGAAUCUCACCAGUGCAUUCCAAGUAGCUUUUCUACUUGAGAUUUUACUUUGAGGAUAACUCCUCCAUGACAGAUUUUUUUUUCUUUCUUCUUUGGUUUCUUAAAUUCAUUCUCUUUUUUUUUUUUUUUUAGGAUUAAGAAAACAACUUAAAUUUGAUAUUUGCAUUUUCUAUAUUUGUGGUUAAGAAAGCUCUUAGUGUUACACUUGUGAGAAAGACUUUAUGUGUGUGAAUUUGUUUUUCUUUGUUUUUAACCAUAUUUUUAAUGGAGGAGUGGCCAGAGUCUCUGGCAGUUUGUCCUCUAAUGUGGAAAACUGUUCCACUUCCCAGCACACCAUCCCAAUUCAGGAGCCAAGAUAGAGUAGUGAGACCAAGUAAAUUUUUCUGUUGUCUCAUACCAUCUGUCUAUAUGGAUAAUUCAUCCUGGCCAUUUAGCGCCUAAAAAAUAAUUACAUUUCUAUAUAAGCUGGUUAUAAAUCCCUUGGUUCAUGAUGUUUAAUUAUAUGCCUGUAUGUGAACCUGGGGAGGGGAGGGGGAAGGCAAGAAAGUCAUGCCUCUUGAUCUGAUAUUCUUUCUUAUUUGCUGAUCCCCAAAGGUAAGACAACAACUAAAUGUAAAGUAACCAACAUGUCUCAACCCACCAGAGGAAUGCACCCCCUUGGCUUCCUCUUGUUCUUUAGUGUGCCCCAUGGUGUCACACAUUGGAACAGGCAAACAAUUUUCAGAUAUCUGGCUUGGUCACAGGUGUACAUUUAUGCUAGAUAAAGGACUUUAUAGAACAGCCACAUUAAUUGUGAAUCUAAAUGCUGUAAUUGACCAGAUACAUCCAGUGCAAGGAUGGUAUCCAGAUAAGCAUCUUACAUUCAAGGGUGUAAGCAUUACCUUUGCGUGGAGACAUCACACUGAUGGGUGAACUCUAAUUAAAUAUGAAGUGUGAUCAUAUGGUACUCCAGGCACUAUGCAAAAUGGGAUGAGGUCUUUGCCCUUGAGGAGUUUACAUUCUCUUGGUGCUGCUGGUAAAGGCAAAUAGCUUCCUUUGUUUAGAACUUGUUGGGCUGUUAAAAUAACCUUGGCCCAAAAGAUUGCUUGUUAAAAUAGUUUUUAGAAGCAGAGAGCUACACCAAAUUUUAAGGCAUUGGAAAUUUAACUAGUUUAUAUUGUACUAGCUAUGCUAUUAAUCUUUCCAGAAUGUAUGUGGAGCAGGAGGAUAAGGAAUACUAUAUAAGUAAUUUCUUUCAGCAUUAGUAAAAGAAACCACUUUACCGAAUAGGUUCUCCACAACAUACUACCUUUUCCUUUUGUGGUAUCAUACCCAUCACAAAGUUGGCCAGGAAAAUCCCUAACAAAUAUAAAAUUGCAUAUUUACUUUUCUUAAUAGUGGCUAUUAUUUCUGCUGCCAUAUCAUUUCCACCUUUAAGGGAUUGGAUUUGUAUCCCAGUCUCCCUUGUACCAGUGUGAAAUGAUCCUGAAUUUUACUUUUUUAUUUGUUGGUAGUUUUGUAAUUCCAUUCAGAAGCAUCAUAGGAAUAGACAUGUAGAGAACUUGAUUAAUACUGUCUUCCCAAAGGUUUCUCAGUUUUCUCCCUUUCAGUUACAGUAUUUCAAAGAAAAUUAAUUGCAUGUAUAUCAGCUAAAUCCUAUGAUGCCUCUGAAUCAAGAAGUUUUGUUUGUUUUGCAUGUUUAUCAAAUAUGGGCCUGAUUGAGGGACCCAAAUGCAUGAUGACCAUAAAAGUAACAGUGGCACAAAGCCCAUAAUCCCCAUUUUGUAGAGCUAGAAUUCUAAUAUGCAUGAUUUAAAAUGCUUAGUGUCAUAUAAUUACUAGAAAACUGAUAUAUGCAUUUAUAUAUAACAAAGCAAUAGUAACUAUUAAUAGCUUGAAUUUACUGCUUGAAAACUCAGUUCUUGUGUGGUUUGCCUCCCAUCAGUAAAGGGAGGGUGGGUAGAGAAUAAACAGGGAUAGCAGCAUGACACUCCAGCUGUUUAGAAGAGGAUUUAUAUUAGCCCCCAAAGCAUGUUUUUUAAAAUAACGGGACAAACUAAGAAGAAGCAUGUGGUGUUGAUGAAUGAUUUUUUAGUUAUCUCAACUGUAGCAAUCAAAAAGGUGCAGAGUUUCAGGAGUGAGUGGGUGAGGCCCAACUGUAGUAUAGAAAGUAAUAACUGGGUCUAUUUUUAAAAAGGCAAAAGUGGCCUGAGUGUAAGCCCAGUAAAACUAGUACUUUGAAGGUGAAUGAUAUCAAUGAGCACAGUGCACGUAUUUCAGGUGUUGAGUAGCUUUUUAAUACAGUAUUUUUAGGUAAUUUUAGCCACUUAAAGACAACUGUACUGAAUUGUAACGGUGUCAAUUAGCAAUAAUAAUGGCUCCCUGCAACAAAGGAUACUGUUCCAUUUUGCAGGAUUCACCUGAAAAUAUUGUUACAUCUUUGUUUAGUUGUUAUAUUGAUAUAUUUUUGAAUUUAUGUAACUUGAAAUAGGUUUUUAGAGCCAAAGAUACAAAAUUAUUUAGCCCUGAUGAUCUGGUCAGUUAGACUCCAUAAAGAAUUCUUGUCCCUUAAGAUGAAUUUAUGUGCAUCCUUAUUUCAUUAAAUAGAUUUACCAUUAACUUCCUCAUUUAGGGAGAAAAAAAGCAAAUGCUCUUCAAUUCACUGUAAUACUUAAGAAUGUUGGGGACUAAAGAUUCUUAUGGAGCUUUUGGAGUAACUUGACCGAAGCAUGUGUGAUUAUAGCAAACAGGAACUAAUACAUGACAAAGAAGUAAUAAGAAGCUGCUUCCCGCAGAGGUUUUCCUUAAGUUAGUAUAACCUCACUGUAAUUGUAGGGCUUAUCUUGGCACUGUUGGAAAAACUCUCAUCUUCCAAGUUAAAGGAUAAAAAUAACCUUCAAAUAGGCCAGAGUUGAACCACUUAGUUCAUACUUAGCAAGUUUGUUCCUAACACACAUUGGAAAGAUGAGCUUUACUAAGCCUCUUUACAGUUUUUCUCUAGCCACUUAUUGAUAGAACAUCUGUGAAACCAACUAGGGAAAUUAAUUGUUAAUUGUUUUUGGUUUAAGAAUACAUUAACCAUCAAUCUUCAACUCCUCUAAAAGGGAGUUAUAAAUACUCUUAUAUGCAACUCUUUUUAUCUUAAAAUACAUCAAGAAAUUCAAACUUUAAGAAUUAUUCUUUAAAAGCAAAAACUCAUAAACAGAAAGCCUUCCUUGUAAAGAUAUUUUUCUUUGAAAAUAAAGGUGUCAAUAUGCUGCGCCACUGUUGGAAUGUUAGGUUUUAUUUUUUCCAUCAUGGGGUGAAAUAUCCAAAAUAAAUAAAUUGGAAUAGUGUAUGAUAAUUUUCUGUAACUGUACUAUUCUUGAAUCUGCUUUUAAGUUGUAUGUAAAAUAAAACAAUGUGACAUUAAAUUAGGAAGACCCAAUACUCACUUUUAUUCUAUGUAUUGAUUUUCUUUAGUGCAGGAAAGAUUGUUUACUUACUGUAUGCACAUGCAGCACUGUAAUCUCUAUUCCAUUGCACAGUUAUACUUUAUGAGGUAAUAUUGUUAGAAUUUCUUGUUGUAUAUACCUGAAAUUUUGCAGACCGCAGCUUGCUGUUAUAUCUAUGCAUCUUUGGGAUUUUGAAGAAGAGAUUUUAUUCUUUUGAUGGUAUAAUGAGAAACUUUUUUAAACCAUACAUUGGAAACUCUGCAACUCUGUAUAAAAUUUUUGGGCUUUGUUUUUGGUUUUUAGCAAUAAAGCAGCAUGAGCUGAGAAUGCACUGAAA